GCGGGCUUGACCGAUUGGCUAGGUGGCUGCCUUCCAAGCAGUUAAAAAGGGUUCGAUUCCCUUAGUCCGCUCCA
rnacentral:tRNA from 1 species